rnacentral:rRNA from 1 species
AGCGGUACGCGAGCUGGGUUCAGAACGUCGUGAGACAGUUCGGUCCCUAUCCGUCGCGGGCGCAGGAAAUUUGAGAGGAGCUGUCCUUAGUACGAGAGGACCGGGAUGGACGCACCGCUGGUGUACCAGUUGUUCUGCCAAGGGCAUCGCUGGGUAGCUAUGUGCGGACGGGAUAAGUGCUGAAAGCAUCUAAGCAUGAAGCCCCCCUCAAGAUGAGAUUUCCCAUUCCGCAAGGAAGUAAGAUCCCUGAAAGAUGAUCAGGUUGAUAGGUCUGAGGUGGAAGUGUGGCGACACAUGGAGCUGACAGAUACUAAUCGAUCGAGGACUUAACCUA